GCCCGGAUAGCUCGAUCCGGUAGAGCACGAGAUGUAAUCUCGGGGUCGUGGGUUCGAGCCCCACGUUGGGCG